UGCCGAACCGCUUGACGUAUUCCCACCAAGUGUUAGCAUAGCCUUCAAAAUGAGCUAUGGCAUAACAACUCUUCUUCUCCUCCGAGAUAUCAUUCACUUGAAAUACUUUAUCACACGUCAACUCCCAAGCAAGAUACACCUCGGGGUUACUUUCACCCUUAAAGAUAGGUAGGAUCAAUUUGAUGGUAUUGAUGCCUACGUCUCUCUCUAG
rnacentral:lncRNA from 1 species